rnacentral:rRNA from 1 species
UUCGACUGUUUACCAAAAACAUAGCCAAUAGAAAAAAUUAUUAAUGGUGAUGCCUGCUCAAUAAUUAAACAAUAACAAAUAAAAAUAAUUAAAUAGCUGCGGUAACACCUGACCGUGCAAAGGUAGCAUAAUAAAUUGCCUAUUAAUUAUAGGAUAGAAUGAAGGUAACACGAAGACUCAACUGUCUUAAGAUUAUACAAUAUAAAAUAGAAUGUGUGUGCAAAUCCACACUAAAACGGCAAGACGAUAAGACCCUAAGAACUUUACUGAAAACUUAAAACAAAAAUAAUAAGUCUUAAGUUUCGUUGGGGCAACGAUCUUUUAAAAAGUAACUAAGAUUAAUAAAUCAUUUACCACCUGUAAUUUUAAACAAUACAACGAUAAGACCCGUUAAAAAAUAAUUAACGAUAACAUAAUAAAAGUUCCUUAGGGAUAACAGCGUUAUAUCGUUUCCAGAGAACCAUCCAAACGAUGUUUGCGACCUCGAUGUUGGAAUUA